AAGUUGUCCAAUUGUAGUAGUUUUUCAAAAAAAAAAAAAAAACAUUGGGUCUCAUGUAUCAAUCUUUUAGUUAUGUUGUGUGUAAAUAUUUUUGUACACCAAACUGUAUAAAAAAAUUCCAGCCAGCUUUACAUACAUUUCGGUAACACUGAUUUUCUUCACACUCAUGUGCGUAUGGGUAAAUUGCAAUCCAUAAAAAAUUACCCAUCACGUUCACAACACAGCUGAUUUACUUUUAAUGACGCCCACAAAACUCCAUAAAAGGCAAAGCUCACAGAGAGCUGAAGAUGAAUUAAACAGCCACAAAGUAACUUUUCCUCCUUUUAUGAGGGAUCAUUUCUAAUGUCCUAAUUGAAUAAGUAGUCUUAUUUGUCUUUAUAAUUUUGUUUUGUAAUAAAAUUUUAUGUCAGAGUUUCAUUAAAUUUGUGUGUGCAAUUGAAAGAAAUAAGUGAUUUAAAUAUAAUGUAUAAUGUAUGUAAUGUAAUAUGUAUAUAAAAUUGCAGUGGCGCUUUGUCACAUAUAUAGGGCCUUUCGCAUCGCUUUAGUUCCAGAACUAAAUUUACAGUACUAAAGUACUGGGCGAUUUUGCGAACUAUUUCCCAGUACCGUUUAAAGGGUUGCAUUCGCACCGACAGUGGGCACUAGGAAGUGACGUAAGCCGGUCGACAGCAACGUAAUUUUGCACGGCGUUCAACAACGGAAACAAAGAAGAACAACGUAAACAACCAGCGGAUGGAGGACGCUGUGAUCGGAGCUGUGUUGUUGUUGUAUCUCACGUCCAUCUAUCGCUGUUCUCCAUACUUGUGAAAUAAGUUGACACUACAGUAUGUUUACACGGCGUUUUAAAUCGUGGCAGGUGAGGGUGUUUUCGUACGCGUUUGGCCAAUCAACGUCUACUUACGUCACGGAUAGUACCAGUUGUGCUGGUUAGACCCUGCUCCAGAGUAGGAGCUAAUUUGGUUCUCGAAAAAGGCAGUCGGUACUAAAAUCACACCCAGUUCCGGAGGUGCGAAAACGCCAGAAAGUGGGUAGUUCCACAAUUAGUUCAGGUACUAUGAAAAGGUUCCUGCGGUGUGAAAGGCCCUUAUGAUUUGGAGCCGAUCAGUUGCUGUUCCUUACAUGUAAAUUUACAAACUCAAGAGGUAUAGUAGGAUACAAACCUUUUUCCUAACUAACUAGAUUUUCAUGAAUGCCGCAUUUCUUGUAUAAAUGCCAUUCCAAAGAUUUAUGAAUAAACUCAUUCAUAGGCAACUUGAUAAAUAAGACCCAUUGUUCUUUGGUGGAACUUUUGGAUUGUACUGUACUAGGCAGGGUUACUACAUAUGCAGAUCCCAGUGUGUGAACACACCGUCCUGUAUUGUUUGGACACGUACGUCUACGUGCAUGUUCCCAUAUGUCCGCUCUCGGGCCUGUUCCAGUCCUCUCACACAUUUGCAGGCUUUUCUUCACACAAUGAGCACAUCCUUAGUGAUGCUGCUGUUUGGGAGCGGGUUGUUAGGCUGGGGCAAUAAGGAAAGGCCUUUAUUUGCUUUGGCCCGAGAGGACGUUAGUAAUUAGAUAAAUGAAAGUUGAACAUAGCAUUUGUCCUUAGAACUACCUCAAUGUCUCUUGCCUACCUACUUCCUUUGACCCUUAACUCCCUUUCAGCUUGUAAAACACAUACAGUAUCCACAUCGUUACAUUUAGUCAUUUGGCAGAUGCUUUUAUCCGAGGUGACUUGCAGGUGAGUCAUAAUCCAAUCUGUACAUAUAGAAAGGAAUCAAGGGCCUAGAGAGAGUAGCUCUCAGGAAAGCUUGGGAUUUGAACUCACAACCAUUUAAUCAUUUCAGCCUUUGUAUGCUCUGUCAGUAGGCAGCGUGUGUGCGAGGGUAGGAAGAUUUGCCAAAAUUAAUUUCCAUAUGAGAUCAGCACUCCAUCGUAUCUGAUAGUUGUUAUUGCACCAGACUUCCAGCAGAGAAUCUGCUGUGUGUGUGUGUGUGUAAGCCAUGAGUCCCUGCAGAAGUCCCUAUCUCUGCGCUUUCCAUAUAGCCUUGGGCACUGGCUUGCCUGCAAGGUGUUUUAUAAUUAAUAUCCAAUAACAUGAGAAGAUGUGGGAAGGAGGAACAGAGUUGGAGAACAAGGUCUCAUUUUAAUAAUUAUUUUACAUCUUCAUAAUCUCUCUCAUACAUACAUUAGAUAGCGUACCACAGGGCACUGGGCCAGAGUGUGAGAGUGUGUAUGCAAUGUGGAUAAGCGUGUGUAUGAGUUCAACACAGGGCUAUUCUGAUUACAGAUAAGCACUGCUGAGAAACAGCUCCCUGAGGGCAAUUCCCUUUUCCUUCUCCACACAGGCCUUGUAUCUAAAGCAGGAUGUUGCGCUGUAUCGGUGUAGUGUACUUGAUGGCUAAGAUGGAAGUUUGGCUAAAACUCCCAUUUUACACCCAUUGAAAUAUUUUGACAGUUCCAAAUACUUAUCCUUAACAAACAUACAGUGCAGUUGGUUAUAUGUGUUUCAAAGAAUAUUGUUUUCUGAACUAUAAUGAUGUUCAUAAAAGGUGAAAGAAGUCAUCAUUAUGAUUUCUCCAUAUUGGACAACUCCAGACAACAAACUAACACAUUCCUGAGUUUCUUUAGUCACAUUUUAUUGGCUACUAGGUGGCUUGGUAAGAGAUAGGGUUAACCAAUCAGGAUUAUAAUUUUGUUCCCAUUAUAUUUACUUUAAUUCAUUUGGCAGAUGGUUUUAUCUGUGUUUUGGCUAAGCAGAUGAGGGUUAAGCAUCUUUCUCAAGUAGCAGCUUGGCAGAAGAAGGAAUCAAACUCACAAUCUUCCGAUAUGUAAUCCAGCGCCCUAACGGCUGAGCAUGUAGCUUGUGUUUGAAAGAUACUAACCAGCGAGCUACACAAGGUGACAGCUGAUGAAGUACAGAAGAAGGAAGAAAAAGCAGAUCUGAAUUUAGCUGUGCAUCAGCGGAAACUGUAAAGUCAUCCCUGAUGGAAGCUCCACACCCUGGACGUCACAUUUAUCAGUUUUCUAUCACAUUUCACAGCAUGGCCUGUCAAACAUCAGUCUUCAGGAAGCUCAUGAUCCCAGAGCCGCCGGUUCCUCUUUCUUCCAGCGCUGUGGGUGCUUUCCACACAGGGUUGUGUCCUUCUAAAGAUUCUGGGCCUGCACAACGGAGCUGUUUGGCUCGGGAUGCCGG